GGGGGUGUGGCUCAGUGGCAGAGCGCUUGCCUAGCAUGUGUGAGGCACUGGGUUCAAUUCUCAGCACCACAU
rnacentral:tRNA from 1 species